UCGUGGAGUGAUCUGUCUGCUUUAUUGCGAUAACGAACGAGACCAAUACCUGCUAAAUAGCGGUUAUGACAUUCAGUUGACUGGAUGUUGGGUUGAUGAGGGGAAGAC
rnacentral:rRNA from 1 species